rnacentral:rRNA from 1 species
GACGAACGCUGGCGGCGUGCUUAACACAUGCGAGUCGAACGGAAAGGCCCUGCUUUUGUGGGGUGCUCGAGUGGCGAACGGGUGAGUAACACGUGAGUAACCUGCCCUUGACUUUGGGAUAACUUCAGGAAACUGGGGCUAAUACCGGAUAGGAGCUCCUGCUGCAUGGUGGGGGUUGGAAAGUUUCGGCGGUUGGGGAUGGAUUCGCGGCUUAUCAGCUUGUUGGUGGGGUAGUGGCUUACCAAGGCUUUGACGGGUAGCCGGCCUGAGAGGGGGACCGGCCACAAGGGGACUGAGGUACGGCCCAGACGCCUACGGGAGGCAGCAGGGGGGAAUAUGGCACAAUGGGCGGAAGCCUGAGGCAGCAACGCCGCGUGCGGGAUGACGGCCUUCGGGUUGUAAACCGCUUUCGCCUGUGACGAAGCGUGAGUGACGGUAAUGGGUAAAGAAGCACCGGCUAACUACGUG